AUGCAGCCAUGCCGCGUGUAUGAAGAAGGCCUUCGGGUUGUAAAGUACUUUCAGCAGUGAGGAAGGUGGAUGCGUUAAUAGCGUAUUCAUUUGACGUUAGCUGCAGAAGAAGCACCGGCUAACUCCGUGCCAGCAGCCGCGGUAAUACGGAGGGUGCGAGCGUUAAUCGGAAUUACUGGGCGUAAAGCGCAUGCAGGUGGUUUGUUAAGUCAGAUGUGAAAGCCCCGGGGCUCAACCUCGGAAUUGCAUUUGAAACUGGCAGACUAGAGUACUGUAGAGGGGGUAGAAUUUCAGGUGUAGCGGUGAAAUGCGUAGAGAUCUGAAGGAAUACCGGUGGCGAAGGCGGCCCCCUGGACAGAUACUGACACUCAGAUGCGAAAGCGUGGGGAGCAAACAGGAUUAGAUACCCUGGUAG
rnacentral:rRNA from 1 species